rnacentral:rRNA from 1 species
GGGGAAUUUUCCGCAAUGGGCGAAAGCCUGACGGAGCAACGCCGCGUGAGGGAUGAAGGCCUCUGGGCUGUAAACCUCUUUUCUCAAGGAAGAAGAUCUGACGGUACUUGAGGAAUAAGCCACGGNCUAAUUCCGUGCCAGCAGCCGCGGUAAUACGGGAGUGGCAAGCGUUAUCCGGAAUUAUUGGGCGUAAAGCGUCCGCAGGCGGUCUGUCAAGUCUGCUGUUAAAGCGUGGAGCUUAACUCCAUUUCGGCAGUGGAAACUGACAGACUAGAGUGUGGUAGGGGCAGAGGGAAUUCCCGGUGUAGCGGUGAAAUGCGUAGAUAUCGGGAAGAACACCAGUGGCGAAGGCGCUCUGCUGGGCCAUAACUGACGCUCAUGGACGAAAGCCAGGGGGAGCGAAAGGGAUUAGAUACCCCUGUAGUC